GUAUGGUAGACUUGAAAUCCAGAACCACAUCUAGAAAGCUGUAGGGUCUGGCAAAGUGACGAAAAUGGCCCAACUCGAGGGGCAGCGCCAAGCAUGCAUUUGAAAAUAUCACUGCAGGCAAUUGGAUAACACUACGACCAAUCGGAAGAAUACUCUGGGUGACGUAUCCAGACCAGCAGAGCUAACCAAUAGAUCAUACUCUUGCCGUAUCCGGUCGGUAAAACAGCAACGCUUUCGCCCUGCCGAUAUCAGAUAAACCGAUGUGAUUGGUUAAGGUUCUGGGCCAGGGGAAUCGUGGACUGCCUUCUAGAUAAUCGUGGGAUGGACAUCGCUGGAACUUCAAGCGUUACGUCCAGAAGAUGCGGACGUCAUCCACCCCCCUCAUAUGAGCGGUUACCCUGAUCCCAAUUCAGGCUGCCUGCGGCGCCUCCUGGAGGAAAGUGAAGGUUCUGCCACAGUGCUUGUCCACAGGCUCUCCACAGCAGAGUUUGGUACACUGCAAACAGUUCUGCACACACCAAGGAGUGACUGAGGUCCAACCACUUCACUGAGCGGGAGCGGUGGAACGGCUCCUUAUCCUCCAGCGCUGUCGGACACACGGCUCCAGAUCUAGACACAAGAUAUUGAAAUUAAAUGAUUUUUUAUUGUGCCACUUACCUAAAUCUAACCCUCUCAGACAAACUGAACUGGAUUAUUUAUUCAAACGACUGAUGGAUAAUGAACACAUCAGUUAUUAUUUUAGUUAAUUUAGCUUCAAGCAUAUUUUGUUCACUUUUAAAUAAGCCUGUAAUUAAAGCUACAAGUAUUA